rnacentral:rRNA from 1 species
AUUGAACGCUGGCGGCAUGCUUUACACAUGCAAGUCGAACGGUAACAGGCCGCAAGGUGCUGACGAGUGGCGAACGGGUGAGUAAUGCAUCGGAACGUGCCCAGUCGUGGGGGAUAGCGCAGCGAAAGCUGUGCUAAUACCGCAUACGAUCUAUGGAUGAAAGCGGGGGACCGUAGGCCUCGCGCGAUUGGAGCGGCCGAUGUCAGAUUAGGUAGUUGGUGGGGUAAAGGCCUACCAAGCCGACGAUCUGUAGCUGGUCUGAGAGGACGACCAGCAACACGGGGACUGAGACACGGCCCAGACUCCUACGGGAGGCAGCAGUGGGGAAUUGUGGACAAUGGGCGCAAGCCUGAUCCAGCAAUGCCGCGUGCAGGAAGAAGGCCUUCGGGUUGUAAACUGCUUUUGUACGGAACGAAACGGUCUGGGUUAAUACCCUGGGCUAAUGACGGUACCGUAAGAAUAAGCACCGGCUAACUACGUGCCAGCCGCCGCGGUAACAC